GCUAACGCCGGCCCAGAGGAGGCGGGAAGACGGGGGUGGGAGGCGGUUUUCGGAAUCACUGGGCGGAAAGGGCGCGCAGGCGGGUUGGUAAGGCAGAUGGGAAAGCCCACGGCUUAACCGUGGAAGUGCAUUUGAUACUGCCAGACUUGAGUACCAGAGGGGAAAGGGGAAUUCCCGGUGUAGAGGUGAAAUUCGUAGAUAUCGGGAGGAAUACCGGUGGCGAAGGCGACUUUCUGGCUGAGUACUGACGCUGAGGCGCGAAAGCGUGGGGAGCAAACAGGAUUAGAUACCCGAGUAGUC
rnacentral:rRNA from 1 species